rnacentral:rRNA from 1 species
UGCAGUCGAACGAUGAAGCCGGGUGCUUGCACCGGGUGGAUUAGUGGCGAACGGGUGAGUAUCACGUGAGUAACCUGCCCUUGACUCUGGGAUAAGCCUGGGAAACUGGGUCUAAUACCGGAUAUGACCAGUCCUCGCAUGGGGUGCUGGUGGAAAGAUUUAUCGGUCUUGGAUGGACUCGCGGCCUAUCAGUUUGUUGGUGAGGUAAUGGCUCACCAAGGCGAUGACGGGUAGCCGGCCUGAGAGGGUGACCGGCCACACUGGGACUGAGACACGGCCCAGACUCCUACGGGAGGCAGCAGUGGGGAAUAUUGCACAAUGGGCGCAAGCCUGAUGCAGCGACGCCGCGUGCGGGAUGACGGCCUUCGGGUUGUAAACCGCUUUCAGCAGGGAAGAAGCUUUUUGUGACGGUACCUGCAGAAGAAGCGCCGGCUAACUACGUGCCAGCAGCCGCGGUAAUACGUAGGGCGCGAGCGUUAUCCGGAAUUAUUGGGCGUAAAGGGCUCGCAGGCGGUUUGCCACGUCUGCUGUGAAAGCCCGGGGCUUAACUCCGGGUGUGCAGUGGGUACGGGUAGACUAGAGUGCAGUAGGGGAGACUGGAAUUCCUGGUGUAGCGGUGAAAUGCGCAGAUAUCAGGAAGAACACCGAUGGCGAAGGCAGGUCUCUGGGCUGUUACUGACGCUGAGGAGCGAAAGCAUGGGGAGCGAACAGGAUUAGAUACCCUGGUAGUCCAUGCCGUAAACGUUGGGCACUAGGUGUGGGGGGACAUUCCACGUUUUCCGCGCCGUAGCUAACGCAUUAAGUGCCCCGCCCUGGGGAGUACGGCCGCAAGGCUAAAACUCAAAGGAAUUGACGGGGGCCCGCACAAGCGGCGGAGCAUGCGGAUUAAUUCGAUGCAACGCGAAGAACCUUACCAAGGCUUGACAUGGACCGGAUCGCUGCAGAGAUGUAGUUUCCCUUCGGGGCUGGUUCACAGGUGGUGCAUGGUUGUCGUCAGCUCGUGUCGUGAGAUGUUGGGUUAAGUCCCGCACGAGCGCAACCCUUGUCCUAUGUUGCCAGCACGUGAU